AGCCUUCUCUUCUGCAGGCUGAACAAGCCCAGCUCCCUCAGCCUGUCCUCAUAGGAGAGGGGCUCCAGCCCUCAGAUGAUUUUAGUAGCCCUCCACUGGGCCCGUUCCAACACCUCCAUG